rnacentral:rRNA from 1 species
CCUACGGGGGGCUGCAGUGAGGAAUAUUGGUCAAUGGACGAGAGUCUGAACCAGCCAAGUCGCGUGAGGGAUGACGGCCCUACGGGUUGUAAACCUCUUUUGUCGGGGAGCAAAGAGAGUCACGUGUGGCUCAUUGAGAGUACCCGAAGAAAAAGCAUCGGCUAACUCCGUGCCAGCAGCCGCGGUAAUACGGAGGAUGCGAGCGUUAUCCGGAUUUAUUGGGUUUAAAGGGAGCGUAGAUGGGUUGUUAAGUCAGUUGUGAAAGUUUGCGGCUCAACCGUAAAAUUGCAAUUGAUACUGGCAGUCUUGAGUACAGUUGAGGUAGGCGGAAUUCGUGGUGUAGCGGUGAAAUGCUUAGAUAUCACGAAGAACCCCGAUUGCGAAGGCAGCUUACUAAACUGUGACUGACAUUGAUGCUCGAAAGUGUGGGUAUCAAGCAGGAUUAGAUACCCCUGUAGUC